GUAGCUCAGCUGGAUAGAGUACUCGGCUACGAACCGAGCGGUCGGAGGUUCGAAUCCUCCCGGAU
rnacentral:tRNA from 1 species